GACGAACGCUGGCGGCGUGCUUAACACAUGCAAGUCGGACGGAAAGGCCCUGCUUUUGUGGGGUGCUCGAGUGGCGAACGGGUGAGUAACACGUGAGUAACCUGCCCUUGACUUUGGGAUAACUUCAGGAAACUGGGGCUAAUACCGGAUAGGAGCUCCUGCUGCAUGGUGGGGGUUGGAAAGUUUCGGCGGUUGGGGAUGGACUCGCGGCUUAUCAGCUUGUUGGUGGGGUAGUGGCUUACCAAGGCUUUGACGGGUAGCCGGCCUGAGAGGGUGACCGGCCACAUUGGGACUGAGAUACGGCCCAGACUCCUACGGGAGGCAGCAGUGGGGAAUAUUGCACAAUGGGCGGAAGCCUGAUGCAGCAACGCCGCGUGCGGGAUGACGGCCUUCGGGUUGUAAACCGCUUUCGCCUGUGACGAAGCGUGAGUGACGGUAAUGGGUAAAGAAGCACCGGCGAACUACGU
rnacentral:rRNA from 1 species